UCGUUCAUAUAGUGAGACAUCAAGUUAGUUUCGAUCAUUCAAAAUGCAUUUCAAAAUUUAUCUCAAAAUACAAAUCACUGGUCGCCUAUUAACUGUGUGUGCAAAAUUUUGCCGGUUAAAAUUGGAACAGGAAUUCACCUAAACAGCGAGUUUAAUUACAAUAAAAUGCUUUUUACUUCAGCUCUGUCAGACUGUUUUUGUUUUUAGCUGAACUUGCAGAGCGAGCGCUAGAUGGCGAGGUGUCGUAAAAGAGAAAAAGUGUGAAACGGAUUGCCAUACUACAGUGUCGUAAUUCGCGCAAUAAUCUUCCCAACUGUCAAGUGUCAAUAGACCACAACCAAUUCUUAGGAUCUAUUUGUCUUAGAUUCAUCUCCCGAAUCAAAAGAAAGUUCUUGCCCUUAACUAGAUUGAACAAAAAACAAAACCACUAGUAAAUUCCAAAAAAUUGUAGUCGACUUUGUUAAGUUUGUCACUACAGAUUUUUUUCCGUUCCCGAAUAGAGAGGGAAUGCUACAACAGACUAACAUCUUAAUUUCCAAUUUCUCCAUCUGAACUUUCAGCCGCCAUCCAUUUUUUCAAUUCUUCAGCCUGCUUGGUUACUGGAUUGAUCUACGAUAAAGUUUAAGAACUGUUCAAUUGUUGAGCAACCCACUUCCAUCUGAAAUUGAAGUAAAGGAAUGUCCUCAAUGCUUCUGACAUACAUAUACUUGUUAGUCAAGUCAGGAAACUCAUCGUUGCCUUCAGAAUUCUCUAUACUGACCUGCUCUCUAUACUGAUCUCUAUACUGAUCGCUGCUCAAUUGGAAUUCAUAAAGAUAUGAAAAAGUUGCUGGGUUUCGUAAUCGCUGUCAGCGUUCAUCAAUUUCAUGAAAGCGAUAUUCUAUCUGCUAAUGGAGUCGUUUUUGGACCAAUUGAAAAACAUAACAAUCUUUUAACUGCCAUGGAACGACUAUCCCUAAGGUUUCCUGGAAAGAUUGCUGUGAAAUUAAAAAUGCCAUAUUCAACUAUUCCUGCACCAGUUUUUUUUUUUAAAUAUUUCAAUUACCUAAUUUAUAAUU